AUGUUUCUACAUGCCACCCUGAAUAUGCCUGAUCUCGUCUGAUCUCGGAAGCUAAACAGGAUCGGGCCUGGUUAGUACUUGGAAGGGAGACCACCUAGGAAUACCAGGUGCUAUAGGUAUU
rnacentral:rRNA from 1 species